rnacentral:rRNA from 1 species
UACGGAGGGGGCGAGCGUUAUUCGGAAUUAUUGGGCGUAAAGGGCGCGUAGGCGGCUGUACAAGUCAAAGGUGAAAUCCCUCGGCUCAACUGAGGAGCUGCCUUUGAAACUGUACGGCUUGAGGCCGGGAGGGGGUAGCGGAAUUCCCAAUGUAGCGGUGAAAUGCGUAGAUAUUGGGAGGAACACCAGUGGCGAAGGCGGCUACCUGGACCGGUACUGACGCUGAGGCGCGAAAGCGUGGGUAGCAAACAGG